rnacentral:rRNA from 1 species
AUGAUGGAUGAUGAGUUAUUCAAGUUGGACACUGAGCCUUUGGGGGUUUAUUCCGAAGAUGCAACCAAUGAUGACAAGCCCCUGGAGGAUGAACCUCAGAAUGAGCGGACAUGUGAUGAUGAUUUCAAGCACCUGUCGCAGAAUGCAGAAGAUCGUGUGCUAGCUUUUGAGGAACUUGAUGAAGAUAAUCUGAUGGGGCAGUUAUUUGCCGAGAAUCCCCUGGAGCUGGCUAACUAUGCAAUGAAUCACGUGCCAAUGUAUGAUGACCAUGAUUAUGGUCCUGAUCGGGUGCACAAAAUUCAGUGUACUCUGGCGCAUUCACAGCGAUAUGCAGCACAUGGUCUCGACAUGCUGGCACACGCCGAACUGUUGUACACCCAGCUUCGGAGUGAUAUACGGUCUGACCGUGUACCAGAGCCUCUCCUCGAGGGGACCAUUCAGUGGGCCGAACAGAUGGCUGCGUACGCAGAAGUUCUGGACGAUUACAGCGAUGAGGUGCAUGAGUCUGCAUUAUACCUGAUUCGCUUUGAGUUGGAAGGUCCCAUGCUUGCAAGGCACGAUCAGUUGGUAACCGUGGCAGACCAGUUACUAGGAGAGCAGAGGAACAUGAGAGCGCGGGUCAGAUGGGCACGGGAAUACAUUGAGCAGCGGCAGGCAUGGUACCAGGAGAGCCUCAAGUUUCUGCAUCUGGACUUUUACAAUGGAGAAGCGCAGCAGCAAGCCAACAGUGCCCAAGAUGUGGAGGCGCAAGCUGUUGAGGAUCAAGUGAAUGUGCAGGGGAACGCUGUGGAGAAGCAGAAUCUUGAGGAUUAG